GCGAGCAGCCAUAUUACCCUGCAACUCACAACUGGCAACUCACUGAAGCUAAGCAGGUGUGAGUCUAUUCAGUACCUGGAUGGGAGACUUCCUGGGAAAAACUAAGGUUUCUGCUGGAA
rnacentral:rRNA from 1 species